rnacentral:rRNA from 1 species
UGGGGAAUUUUGGACAAUGGGCGAAAGCCUGAUCCAGCAAUGCCGCGUGUGUGAAGAAGGCCUUCGGGUUGUAAAGCACUUUUGUCCGGAAAGAAAUCCUUGGCUCUAAUACAGUCGGGGGAUGACGGUACCGGAAGAAUAAGCACCGGCUAACUACGUGCCAGCAGCCGCGGUAAUACGUAGGGUGCAAGCGUUAAUCGGAAUUACUGGGCGUAAAGCGUGCGCAGGCGGUUUGCUAAGACCGAUGUGAAAUCCCCGGGCUCAACCUGGGAACUGCAUUGGUGACUGGCAGGCUAGAGUAUGGCAGAGGGGGGUAGAAUCCCACGUGUAGCAGUGAAAUACGUAGAGAUGUGGAGGAAUACCGAUGGCGAAGGCAGCCCCCUGGGCCAAUACUGACGCUCAUGCACGAAAGCGUGGGGAGCAAAACAGGAUUAGAUACCCUGGUAGUCCACGCCCUAAAACGAUGUCAACUAGUUGUUGGGGAUUCAUUUCCUUAGUAACGUAGCUAACGCGUGAAGUUGACCGCCUGGGGAGUACGGUCGCAAGAUUAAAACUUAAAGGAAUUGAC